rnacentral:rRNA from 1 species
AUUGAACGCUGGCGGCAUGCUUUACACAUGCAAGUCGAACGGUAACAGGCCGCAAGGUGCUGACGAGUGGCGAACGGGUGAGUAAUUCACCGGAACGUGCCCAGCCGUUGAGGAUAACUACUCGAAAGAGUAGCUAAUACCGCAUACGAUCUAUGGUUGAGAUCGGGGGACGGUAAGGGCUCGCUCCAUCGGAGCGGCCGGUGUCCGAUUAGUUAGUUGGUGGGGUAAAGGCUGACCAAGCCAAAGACCUGUACCGGGUGUGAGAGGACGAGCGGCCACACUGGGAGUGAGACAGGGCCCAGACUCCUACGGGAGGCAGCAGUGGGGAAUGUUGGACAAUGGGCGCGAGCCUGAUCCAGCAAGGCCGCGUGUAGGAAGAAGGCCUUCGGGUUGUAAACUGCUUUUGUGCGGAACGAAACGGCUCUGGUUAAUACCCGGGGCUAAUGACGGUACCGGAAGAAGAAGCACCGGCUAACUACGUG